rnacentral:rRNA from 1 species
UACGAAGGGUGCAAGCGUUACUCGGAAUUACUGGGCGUAAAGCGUGCGUAGGUGGUUUGUUAAGUCUGUUGUGAAAGCCCCGGGCUCAACCUGGGAAUGGCCGUUGAAACUGGCGAACUGGAGUGUGGCAGAGGGGGGUGGAAUUCCGCGUGUAGCAGUGAAAUGCGUAGAGAUGCGGAGGAACACCGAUGGCGAAGGCAGCCCCCUGGGCUGACACUGACGCUCAGGCACGAAAGCAUGGGGAGCAAAAGGG